rnacentral:rRNA from 1 species
UGCCAGACUCCUACGGGAGGCAGCAGUGGGGGAUAUUGGACAAUGGGGGAAACCCUGAUCCAGCGAUGCCGCGUGAGGGAAGAAGGUUUCGGAUUGUAAACCUCUGUGGACAGGGACGAUAAUGACGGUACCUGUCAAGAAAGCCACGGCUAACUACGUGCCAGCAGCCGCGGUAAUACGUAGGGGGCAAGCGUUAUCCGGAUUUACUGGGUGUAAAGGGAGCGUAGACGGCAGCGCAAGUCUGAAGUGAAAUGCCGGGGCUUAACCCCGGAACUGCUUUGGAAACUGUGCAGCUAGGGUGCAGGAGAGGUAAGUGGAAUUCCUGGUGUAGCGGUGAAAUGCGUAGAUAUCAGGAGGAACACCGGCGGCGAAGGCGGCCUGCUGGACUGAAACUGACGUUGAGGCUCGAAAGCGUGGGGAGCAAACAGGAUUAGAUACCCCCGUA